AUGUUCUUCGAUAUGCCAUACAUGACACAAUGGCUGACACAUAUCUUCAAUAAAACAACACACCAUGAGAUCAGUUAUCGUGGUAGGGUAUGUGGCUGGCUGGACUCGCCUAUUCUAGAUGGAUGCCAGGGUGACUGCGCAUACAACGAUGUCAUCAGUUGGGCAAACGACGUUGAGGACGAAUCACAGUGGAGGCAAGCUCUCACGCGGAGGCGGGCUCAUGUGGCGGGCAGGCUCUCGCGCGGCAGCGGGUGCAAUAGAUGCGGGUUCGCGUGGCAGAGGCCUCAGCUGAAGCCGGUUAGCGCGGCGACGACAGGCUCACGUGGUAGCGGCCUCGGCAGAUGUGGGCUCGCGUGGCGGAGGCCUCAGCUGAAGCCAGUUCGAGCGGCGACGGUAGGCUCGCGUGGUAGUGGCCACGACAGAUGUGGGCUCGCGUGGCGGAGGCCUCAGCUGAAGCCAGUUUGA
rnacentral:rRNA from 1 species